AAUGCCCAUUUUGUCCGGUUCAACCCAUUUCUCUUUUCUCUCUCAUCACUCUUAAUACCUAAUAUCUUCUUUCUCAGACCACCUCAAACCCAUUUUCACUUUCCUCUCCAUCGCAACUCUCUUUUCUGUCUUUCUCUCUCUCCUUCUAUGGCCUCCCAUCUGUCUCUGCAACUCUCCCAAUUUUUUUACCACGCGUUACAAUGAUUUUUAACUUGCUCUUAAAUGGUUGAUAUAAAAGUUAUAUGGUCAAUAAUUGGUAUAAUGGAGGUUGAGGAUUGGACCAGUUCUUCAGGAGAAACAAGUGAUUUAAAGUGAUUUGAGGUCUGUAAACAGAGUGAUUCAAAUACAGAGCUCGAAAGAACAAAUUUAGCACUAUUGGUCUAAUCCUGAGUUUCGUCAGGUGUCGCCAUUAUCAAAGUUUUCAAUAAUAAAUGUAGAGAGAGAAAGAGUGGAGUAAUUUGUAGAGUGAAGCUGAAUUGUUCCGAAAUGUAGUGAGAGAAAACAGAUGAAGAAAUCUAGAGAUAGAGUUUGAAAUUGGAGAGGUGAUAUUGAAAACGACCUCACGAUUGAAUUGAAAACUUUUUUAUAAUGAAAGAGAACUCUUUUACAAUGAAAGAGAAUUAUGUGUUUUGAAUUGCUGUAAUUGUGAUUCUGUCAUGGGAUUGUAAGUAUCUGGUUUUCAAUGUAAUUGCCAUGUUUUUACCUCAAAUUGUGGUUUCAGUUUAAUUUUUAUUAAAAUCCCAAUCUCCGUUGAUUUGA